GAGGCAGUGUAACUGACUCCAUGCCGCUGUGGGAGCCUGCCUUCCAGAAGCUGUCGGCUGCCUGACCACAUUGCAUUCCCCUCCAGUGAGAAAAACAUUCCAGAGAGGAUUAAGGUGGGCCUAGAACAAGAAAGUGAGACACAACUGCUUCUGAUACACCAAUUAUGUCUGAAUGGAAGAUGAGCAUUGAAGAAAUUCGUUGUGGAGUUUGCUUUCAACAUGGCAAGAUUAGCCAUUUGGGCAAGAAUCUGCUCUUGCCUGGACUGUUUGACUG